rnacentral:rRNA from 1 species
AGAGUUUGAUCCUGGCUCAGGAUGAACGCUGGCGGCGUGCUUAACACAUGCAAGUCGAGCGAGAAGGCUUUGAACAGAGAUUCGUCAAAGGGACGAGCCGGACAGCGGCGGACGGGUGAGUAACGCGUAGGUAACCUACCUUAAGCUGAGGGAUAGCCUAGGGAAACUUGGGAUAAUACCACAUAAUGCGUUGAAGUCACAUGGCUUUAACGCCAAAGAUUUAUCGGCAUAAGAUGGACCUGCGUCUGAUUAGCCAGUUGGUGGGGUAACGGCCUACCAAAGCGACGAUCAGUAGCCGACCUGAGAGGGUGAUCGGCCACAUUGGAACUGAGACACGGUCCAAACUCCUACGGGAGGCAGCAGUGGGGAAUAUUGCACAAUGGGCGCAAGCCUGAUGCAGCAACGCCGCGUGAGCGAAGAAGGUCUUCGGAUUGUAAAGCUCUGUCCUUGGGGACGAAGAAGUGACGGUACCCGAGGAGGAAGCCCCGGCUAACUACGUGCCAGCAGCCGCGGUAAUACGUAGGGGGCGAGCGUUAUCCGGAAUUAUUGGGCGUAAAGAGUACGUAGGUGGUUUGUUAAGCGCAAGGUGAAAGCCCGGGGCUCAACCCCGGCGAGCCUUGUGAACUGGCAGACUUGAGUGCAGGAGGGGAAAGUGGAAUUCCUAGUGUAGCGGUGAAAUGCGUAGAUAUUAGGAGGAACACCAGUGGCGAAGGCGACUUUCUGGACUGUAACUGACACUGAGGUACGAAAGCGUGGGGAGCAAACAGGAUUAGAUACCCUGGUAGUCCACGCCGUAAACGAUGAGCACUAGGUGUUGGCGUAGAAAUACGUCGGCGCCGAAGUUAACGCAUUAAGUGCUCCGCCUGGGGAGUACGCACGCAAGUGUGAAACUCAAAGGAAUUGACGGGGACCCGCACAAGCAGCGGAGCAUGUGGUUUAAUUCGAAGCAACGCGAAGAACCUUACCAGGGCUUGACAUCCCUCUGACCGGCUGGGUAAAACCGGCCUUCUCUUCGGAGCAGAGGUGACAGGUGGUGCAUGGUUGUCGUCAGCUCGUGUCGUGAGAUGUUGGGUUAAGUCCCGCAACGAGCGCAACCCUUGCCUUUAGUUGCCAGCACGUUAAGGUGGGCACUCUAGAGGGACUGCCGGGGACAACUCGGAGGAAGGUGGGGAUGACGUCAAAUCAUCAUGCCCCUUAUGUUCUGGGCUACACACGUGCUACAAUGGUCGGUACAGAGAGAGGCAAGGCAGUGAUGCGGAGCAAAACUCUAAAGCCGAUCCCAGUUCGGACUGCAGGCUGAAACUCGCCUGCACGAAGUCGGAGUUGCUAGUAAUCGCGAAUCAGAACGUCGCGGUGAAUGCGUUCCCGGGUCUUGUACACACCGCCCGUCACACCAUGGAAGUUGGGGGCGCCCGAAGUUGGAUCUAGGUUUACCUAAGGCGAAACCAAUGACUGGGGUGAAGUCGUAACAAGGUA